AUUGCGAGCUGUAGCAAUAUCAAAGUGAACUGUCCCAAGUAACUCUUGUCUAGAAGCUGGGAAGAAGCUUAAGCAGCUCGCUUUAAUGAUGAUUUGUAGCUCGGCGAGGGGCACGGACAGCAAACACCCCGCAGGUGUGUGCCGUAACACCAUCAUCCGGACUUGAAUGUAGAUUACUCUGGCGAUCGUUUGAUCGGCUCUUUGAAACCCUUUACAAUUGCCUGUGACGAACGGCCAGUCUCAGUUUUUCUCUGAAUAAUCCCUGAGGAUCCAACUUAGAAAUAAUGUUUCAUUCAAGAUAAGGCUCGUGGUUUAGGAGAUUGUGACCUGGCUUGCAUCAUUCUAAGACUUCUAUCAUCGGUUUUCAAAACCCAAGGAGGACCUCAUUCUCUGUGUGAUAGUUCCUCAUGCUUUGCCAGCCACUGGGUCUUUAAGGAAGCUUGCCAAGAGUUCCCAGCUGGGAAGGACAGUUCGAGUUCAUCAUAGACAGUGAGCUGGCACCACAGUUUAAGUGACUCACCAACCUGGUUGUCCACUUCAAAAUGUCAAGAACCGCACUAUCUAAUUGAAAGAACUGUGUUUUAGCAAAGUGUAAUUGGAUCGCAUGGCAAGAUCAUCUCAAACUAUGUCUCUGACCUUGCCUUUCAGUGGCUGUUUGGAGCACAAGAGGAGAAAGGAAAUGAUUCCUGAAUUACAUAUUGCUUUUAAAAAUUAAGAUUAAUUAGUGGCCGGGCGCGGUGGCUCAAGCCUGUAAUCCCAGCACUUUGGGAGGCCGAGACGGGCGGAUCAGGAGGUCAGGAGAUCGAGACCAUCCUGGCUAACACGGUGAAACCCCGUCUCUACUAAAAAACACAAAAAACUAGCCCGGCGAGGUGGCGGGCGCCUGUAGUCCCAGCCACUCGGGAGGCUGAGGCAGGAGAAUGGCGUAAACCCGGGAGGCGGAGCUUGCAGUGAGCUGAGAUCUGGCCACUGCACUCCAGCCUGGGUGACAGAGCAAGACUCCAUCUCAAAAAAAAAAAAAAAAACAAAUUAAGAUUAGUUAAUAAAUACUUGGUUUUAUGUUCAUUCCAUUGUAGGAACUUAAUGAUUAUUACAAAACAGUCAAAAUAGGUCAUAGCAAAAUGAACAUUUAAGAUUAGGUUAAAACAUUCCUCUGAAAUUUUAGUAUUCACUUUUGAAGCAUCAAUUACUAUAUUAUAUGAAAAAUGAUAUUUGAAUCAAAGACAUUGUUUUUUCAUAUAGCCACUCCUUUCUAAAAUGCAAAUCCACCCUCCCCUCACCCAUGCUUUAUUAUUUAUACAUACACACACCCACAGACACACACAGAGCCAGCACCCAAAUGGUAGAGGAGGUCCUUUCAAGACUUCUAGGACCUGGAUCAUGUAAGUAGUAGAUGAGAAAAUGAAGUAAGAGGUAUAGAGCAAUAACAAUAAAAGUCAAUGAUUUCAUUUUACAAAAAGUCAUUGUGUAGUACUCAGAUAUUUUUAAAAGCAAGUAUUAUUAUGACUCAAGUAUAUCAUACUUCUAAAUUAUUAUGAUUCUCAUCUAAUUUCAAGCCACAUAUAGGAGCCAUUUGAAAGCAUUUUGUAUUACAACCUAUCAACAAAAAUCAACUAAUAGUUUUAUAAUGUGCAUAAAUUUACCCCAUGGGGAAUUAAAAUUUUUAUAUGCAAGUAUUUCUAUUGUUGUGAGACUUUAGGACAAGACAACAUUUGGUAUUAACAUAGAAGAAUAUUCUAUGGCUUUUUUAGCUUUAAUGUUCAUUACUCUAAAAUAAAGUACACGUGGUAAUUU
ensembl:lncRNA